GAGUAGAAGACCCAAGGAGUACAGCUGAGAUGGAGCAGUGGUAGUGCACAACAAAACCCUCCUAAAACCUCACCCUGCCCAAGCAACACGCCCAUUGUGCAGAGCACAGCUUACAAAAUCAAAAUAGGGGAGGCACUUCGAAUUUCGAAAGCAAAAGCGAACAAAGUCCAACCAAAUGCAGUUCAUCUUCCGCUCUCUCCCUGAGCGAUUCUCUCUGUCCCACUUCGACCGCCGCCGGACCUUCGUGGAUACCCCUUUCAAAUGGGCCCGAGACCGCGGUCUCGACCAUGUCGUGGAGAGAGAGAAGAACCUCAGGCCUUUGCUCAACCUCAAAAACUUCAUCAAAUCCGAGCCCUCCAAGUCCGUCCCUGUCUCCAUCAUCACGCAGAAUCGCGACUCCCUCCAGAUCCCCGUCCGCUCAAUUGACUUCAUCCGCAAAUACCCUUCCGUUUUCGAAGAAUUCCUCCCUGGCGGCAUCGGCAUCCACCCCCACAUCCGGCUUACUCCGGAAGUCCUCAACCUCGACGCCGAAGAGCAGUUGGUUUAUCAGAGCGAGACUUAUAAGAAACAGGCCGCCGACCGGGUUUUGAAGCUCUUGAUGAUAUCCAGGGCCAACAAAAUACCGCUGAGUAUUGUCGAGCGCUUGAAAUGGGAUCUGGGUCUUCCUCGAGAUUAUGAAAAAACUAUCUUCCCCGAGUUCCCGGACUAUUUUCAAAUCGUAGGUGACAGAGAUUCUUCAAAAGGGUCGGAGGAUAGGCGUGUUUUGGAGCUUGUUUGUUGGAGCAAUGAGCUUGCGACUUCGGCUAUGGAGAAAAUGGCAACGAAAGGGAAGUCGGAUUAUGAAAAGGGAAUGGCUAUAGCGUUCCCUUUGCAAUUUUCGAGAGGUUUUGAGAUGGAUAAGAAGUUGAAGAAGUGGGAGGAUGAGUGGCAGAAGUUGCCUUACAUUUCUCCAUACGAGAAUGCGUCUCACUUGCUGCCAAAGAGCGACGAAUCGGAUAAGUGGGCUGUUGCGGUUUUGCACGAGCUUCUUCAUAUUCUCGUUUCUAAGAAGACGGAGCAGGACAAUACACUGCACCUUGGAGAGUAUUUGGGGCUUCGGUCGAGGUUUAAAAGAGCACUGCAUCAUCACCCGGGUAUAUUCUAUUUGUCGAGUAAGAUUGGAACCUACACUGUGGUUUCGAAGGAGGGUUACAAGAGGGGCCUGCUAGUUGAAAAUCAUCCAUUGAUGAUUAUGAGGAAUCGGUAUAUUCACCUUAUGAACACGGUGAAGGAAGAUAGCAAACAGAUUAGCAUACCGGCUGGAAAUAGUAGAAAGAAAAAGCAGACAGGUCGUGAUGAGAAAGGGAAAGAGGAGGAAGAGAAUGAAGACAAAAGUGGAGAGGAGGAUGAACAGGAGCUGGAUGAUUCAUCGGAUGCUGAGGUUGAAGAUGCUAGUGAACAUGAAUAUGAUAAUGAUGAUCGCCAGGAAGAAGAUGAAAAUGAGAGUCGCAGAGGUUUUCAAAAACAUGUUGUGGAUAACAGAGGAAAGAAAGGCAGGAAAACAAUAUUGGGUGAGAAGGGACCAUGGAGAAAAUCUGAGAGCAAAAGGGCGGUUGGAAAACAACCUGGUAAGACAAGGGAAAAAGCUCCAUCGAAAGUUCAUAGAAGGGCAAAGAUGCAUGGUGGUAAUAAUGUCCGGGGCAGUUCACGAGAACGAUCAAUUUUACCUAAAAGCAGAGAGAGGUUAUUGCCAGACAAGAGGACUUUUACUCAGUAAAGAUUCAUAUUAUUUGCUGCAACAAUAUAUCAGCAGGUUUGCUGCAUGUUCAUGAUCUCCUUUGUUGCGAGUUUGCAAAUUUAAACUUACUUUCUCAGAAUGUUUUGCUUGUUAUUGAGUUAGAUUGUCAUAACUGUAGUAGGAAUGAUGGAAGUCUUGCAGUAAAAGGUGAAUUCUACACACCCAUUUGUGCUGAAAUGUUGUACUCAUUUUAUAUGCCUUCCUAUGUUAUGUCGAUCUUUUGAUUACUUAAAAAAAUGUCAUGGCUCUCGUAUUUGUGAGAUACAAACGAUUUUAAUGGGUUUGAGCUCUACAUCCUCCAAAGCAUUUCACUCUGUUCCUCACUUUCUCGAGAAACCUGCCUUCCAAGGCCAUGUGUUCUAGAAUCUAAAAGGGCUCUUUUCUCUCCUCAAAGCCAACGAAAUCCUUUACAAUAGCAGAAUGGUCAUAGACAAGUCCUAGGAAGUGCUUGUUGCACAGAGUUAAUAAAUUAGUCUUUCCACUCUACUGAAGCACAAGGUUGAUCAGUGCGAGAACAAGACAUAGACAGCAUGCCUUGAUUGUUAAUCUGGGUACUUCUUUCGGCCCAGAAGUAAUGGAUAAUCUACAAGAUUUACCUCUGGAAAUAUAUCAGAAAAGGACAUCAUGCGUAGAUGGAGAAAGUGUGAGCAAAUCAGAAGUCAACAAUGAGAAAAGCAAUGGAGGCUUCUAAAGUCUAUCAUGAUGGGAGGAGUUUACCAGCUUUCAAAGGUUUAUUGACACUAGAAAAGCUUUCUUGGAGUAAAGGGUGAUCAGAUAAGGCAGUUACUGGCACGGUCAUCUUAAAGAACGGGAGCUGGUUCGCAUAAGAGGAGUUUCAAUUUCAGUGACUUCAGCAAAGCAAGUAGAAGCUUACACUAUCUGAGAAUCCAUGUUUUUGGCAAAACAGAAUUCCUGAAGUACAGCAAGUAUGGGUGAUUACCAGGUGAGCUUUGGAGGAUGCAAGUGGAAGAAAUCAUGGUGACUGGUAAGUCAAUACAAUUGUGAAGGGCUUCUUUCAGGGUCGUGGCUAAAUGCUUAAUCUUGUUGCACACGAGGCAUCUAGAGCUGGUCUUAUAUUGCCCAGACACCUUCUUCUUCUUCUUUUUGUUUUCUUUUUUUAAUUGUUAAUGCCUCCUCCCUCUCCCCUUUUCUUCCUGAAGCCGCUUCUUUUCUGGGAAAGGUUGUAUUCUAUGUGAGGGAUGAAGGGAAGAUGAAGCUUCAGUGGCUGUUGAAAUUCAAUGAGGAUGCUUCCCCAUAGCAAA